AAGCGAGUAUGCAAGCAGUUAGACACCAUUCCAAAUGAGGCUGAUGUUUGCUUCAUUGAUUGUGCUAUGGAGUUGGAUUCUAAACAGAAAGUCUCCACUGACUGUGUUCCUCAAGCUGCAAAGACAAAUCAAGAUUCAAUGAUUUUUGAAAACCAUGGAAGCAGAGGUACUGCCCAGCCUUGCCCAAGAUGUAUUGCUGGAGAAUCUGGACACUUCAACCAUAUUCUGGGCUUCUAGAAAUUGAGAGAUGGCAAAUCAGCAACACUUUUUACAUUCUAAGGAUGCACAUGUGAACACUGUACUGCUGGAUAUCUGUACAUCCGUUCUACUAAUGGCGUGGACUUGUAUUUUUAGACUUUCUAAGAUAGCUGAGUUGUGGUGUUGGGGUUUGACACUUCAGUGGAUGCUCUGGGACAGGCAGCAGCGUUCCGAAGCUCAGAACCAACAGGCAGAAUGCCUCUGCGUUAGAGGCGGAUUGCUGUGA
rnacentral:lncRNA from 1 species